ACCAGACUCCUACGGGAGGCAGCAGUGGGGAAUAUUGCACAAUGGGGGAAACCCUGAUGCAGCGACGCCGCGUGAGUGAAGAAGUAUUUCGGUAUGUAAAGCUCUAUCAGCAGGGAAGAAAAUGACGGUACCUGAUUAAGAAGCCCCGGCUAACUACGUGCCAGCAGCCGCGGUAAUACGUAGGGGGCAAGCGUUAUCCGGAUUUACUGGGUGUAAAGGGAGCGUAGACGGCAGCACAAGUCUGGAGUGAAAUGCCGGGGCUUAACCCCGGAACUGCUUUGGAAACUGUGCAGCUAGAGUGCAGGAGAGGUAAGUGGAAUUCCUAGUGUAGCGGUGAAAUGCGUAGAUAUUAGGAGGAACACCAGUGGCGAAGGCGGCUUACUGGACUGUAACUGACGUUGAGGCUCGAAAGCGUGGGGAGCAAACAGGA
rnacentral:rRNA from 1 species